UGGCGAGGUGCGCGCGGUGGAGAAGCAGGGCACGUGCAUUCUUUCCGUCGCCGGCCGGCUUGGCAGCGGCCGGCGGCCCGGCUCUCGCAGUCACGCGUACGUCGCCUGAGCGGCGCGCGCGAGAGAGAGAGACACGGCAGGUCGUCGCCGGCGCGGCUAACUGGUGCAGGUGCAGCAGCUAGCUUCUGAAACCCAGCCAGCCAGCCAGCCGGCCGGCCGGCCGAUCGAUGCGUGCAUGUGCCCUUCUUCUCCAUCGGGCACGCCUCGCCU